rnacentral:rRNA from 1 species
AGUGAACGCUGGCGGUAGGCCUAACACAUGCAAGUCGAACGGCAGCACAGUAAGAGCUUGCUCUUACGGGUGGCGAGUGGCGGACGGGUGAGGAAUACAUCGGAAUCUACUUUUUCGUGGGGGAUAACGUAGGGAAACUUACGCUAAUACCGCAUACGACCUACGGGUGAAAGCAGGGGAUCUUCGGACCUUGCGCGAUUGAAUGAGCCGAUGUCGGAUUAGCUAGUUGGCGGGGUAAAGGCCCACCAAGGCGACGAUCCGUAGCUGGUCUGAGAGGAUGAUCAGCCACACUGGAACUGAGACACGGUCCAGACUCCUACGGGAGGCAGCAGUGGGGAAUAUUGGACAAUGGGCGCAGGCCUGAUCCAGCCAUACCGCGUGGGUGAAGAAGGCCUUCGGGUUGUAAAGCCCUUUUGUUGGGAAAGAAAAGCAGCAGGUUAAUACCCCGCUGUUCUGACGGUACCCAAAGAAUAAGCACCGGCUAUCUUCGUG